rnacentral:rRNA from 1 species
UGGUAUCCUGUCUGAAUAUGGGGGGACCAUCCUCCAAGGCUAAAUACUCCUGACUGACCGAUAGUGAACCAGUACCGUGAGGGAAAGGCGAAAAGAACCCCGGCGAGGGGAGUGAAAAAGAACCUGAAACCGUGUACGUACAAGCAGUGGGAGCCUACUUGUUAGGUGACUGCGUACCUUUUGUAUAAUGGGUCAGCGACUUAUAUUCUGUAGCAAGGUUAACCGUAUAGGGGAGCCGAAGGGAAACCGAGUCUUAACUGGGCGUUAAGUUGCAGGGUAUAGACCCGAAACCCGGUGAUCUAGCCAUGGGCAGGUUGAAGGUUGGGUAACACUAACUGGAGGACCGAACCGACUAAUGUUGAAAAAUUAGCGGAUGACCUGUGGCUGGGGGUGAAAGGCCAAUCAAACCGGGAGAUAGCUGGUUCUCCCCGAAAGCUAUUUAGGUAGCGCCUCGUGAACUCAUCUUCGGGGGUAGAGCACUGUUUCGGCUAGGGGGCCAUCCCGGCUUACCAACCCGAUGCAAACUACGAAUACCGAAGAAUGUUAUCACGGGAGACACACGGCGGGUGCUAACGUCCGUCGUGAAGAGGGAAACAACCCAGACCGCCAGCUAAGGUCCCAAAGUCAUGGUUAAGUGGGAAACGAUGUGGGAAGGCACAGACAGCCAGGAUGUUGGCUUAGAAGCAGCCAUCAUUUAAAGAAAGCGUAAUAGCUCACUGGUCGAGUCGGCCUGCGCGGAAGAUGUAACGGGGCUAAACCAUGCACCGAAGCUGCGGCAGCGACGCUUAUGCGUUGUUGGGUAGGGGAGCGUUCUGUAAGCCGUUGAAGGUGGCCUGUGAGGGUUGCUGGAGGUAUCAGAAGUGCGAAUGCUGACAUAAGUAACGAUAAAGCGGGUGAAAAGCCCGCUCGCCGGAAGACCAAGGGUUCCUGUCCAACGUUAAUCGGGGCAGGGUGAGUCGACCCCUAAGGCGAGGCCGAAAGGCGUAGUCGAUGGGAAACAGGUUAAUAUUCCUGUACUUGGUGUUACUGCGAAGGGGGGACGGAGAAGGCUAUGUUAGCCGGGCGACGGUUGUCCCGGUUUAAGCAUGUAGGCGGAGGUUCCAGGUAAAUCCGGUACCUUUUUAACGCUGAGGUGUGAUGACGAGGCACUACGGUGCUGAAGUAACAAAUGCCCUGCUUCCAGGAAAAGCCUCUAAGCAUCAGGUAACACGAAAUCGUACCCCAAACCGACACAGGUGGUCAGGUAGAGAAUACCAAGGCGCUUGAGAGAACUCGGGUGAAGGAACUAGGCAAAAUGGUGCCGUAACUUCGGGAGAAGGCACGCUGAUAUGUAGGUGAAGCCCCUGCGGGUGGAGCUGAAAUCAGUCGAAGAUACCAGCUGGCUGCAACUGUUUAUUAAAAACACAGCACUGUGCAAACACGAAAGUGGACGUAUACGGUGUGACGCCUGCCCGGUGCCGGAAGGUUAAUUGAUGGGGUUAGCGGUAACGCGAAGCUCUUGAUCGAAGCCCCGGUAAACGGCGGCCGUAACUAUAACGGUCCUAAGGUAGCGAAAUUCCUUGUCGGGUAAGUUCCGACCUGCACGAAUGGCGUAAUGAUGGCCAGGCUGUCUCCACCCGAGACUCAGUGAAAUUGAACUCGCUGUGAAGAUGCAGUGUACCCGCGGCAAGACGGAAAGACCCCGUGAACCUUUACUAUAGCUUGACACUGAACACUGGUCCUUGAUGUGUAGGAUAGGUGGGAGGCUUUGAAGCGUGGACGCCAGUCUGCGUGGAGCCGACCUUGAAAUACCACCCUUUAAUGGCUGGUGUUCUAACGUAGACCCGUGAUCCGGGUUGCGGACAGUGUCUGGUGGGUAGUUUGACUGGGGCGGUCUCCUCCCAAAGAGUAACGGAGGAGCACGAAGGUUAGCUAAUCCUGGUCGGACAUCAGGAGGUUAGUGCAAUGGCAUAAGCUAGCUUGACUGCGAGAGUGACGGCUCGAGCAGGUGCGAAAGCAGGUCAUAGUGAUCCGGUGGUUCUGAAUGGAAGGGCCAUCGCUCAACGGAUAAAAGGUACUCCGGGGAUAACAGGCUGAUACCGCCCAAGAGUUCAUAUCGACGGCGGUGUUUGGCACCUCGAUGUCGGCUCAUCACAUCCUGGGGCUGAAGUAGGUCCCAAGGGUAUGGCUGUUCGCCAUUUAAAGUGGUACGCGAGCUGGGUUUAGAACGUCGUGAGACAGUUCGGUCCCUAUCUGCCGUGGGCGCUGGAGAAUUGAGGGGGGCUGCUCCUAGUACGAGAGGACCGGAGUGGACGCAUCACUGGUGUUCGGGUUGUCAUGCCAAUGGCACUGCCCGGUAGCUAAAUGCGGAAGAGAUAAGUGCUGAAAGCAUCUAAGCACGAAACUUGCCCCGAGAUGAGUUCUCCCUGAGACUUUAAGUCUCCUGAAGGAACGUUGAAGACUACGACGUUGAUAGGUCGGGUGUGUAAGCGCAGCGAUGCGUUGAGCUAACCGAUACUAAUGAACCGUGAGGCUUAACCUU